AGCUGCUUAGCUAAAAAAUGUUAAUCGGAAGAAGCAAAAGUGAAUGGCAUGGUGCCAGUAAGAUGGUAUCAAUAUGAUCUAGUCUCAAUUAAGUUAGUCGCAGACGAAAAAUAAAACCUGUAAACAAUUUCUCUCUAUAUUUACUUGUUCAAGUGCCAGUAAAACGAACGAUAGAAAAAAAGAAGCAUUCAG